rnacentral:rRNA from 1 species
AUUGAACGCUGGCGGCAGGCCUAACACAUGCAAGUCGAACGGCAGCACAGAAGAGCUUGCUCUUUGGGUGGCGAGUGGCGGACGGGUGAGUAAUGUCUGGGAAACUGCCCGAUGGAGGGGGAUAACUACUGGAAACGGUAGCUAAUACCGCAUAACGUCGCAAGACCAAAGUGGGGGACCUUCGGGCCUCACACCAUCGGAUGUGCCCAGAUGGGAUUAGCUAGUAGGUGGGGUAAUGGCUCACCUAGGCGACGAUCCCUAGCUGGUCUGAGAGGAUGACCAACCACACUGGAACUGAGACACGGUCCAGACUCCUACGGGAGGCAGCAGUGGGGAAUAUUGCACAAUGGGCGCAAGCCUGAUGCAGCCAUGCCGCGUGUAUGGAGAAGGCCUUCGGGUUGUAAAGUACUUUCAGCGGGGAGGAAGGCGGUGAGGUUAAUAACCUCGCCGAUUGACGUUACCCGCAGAAGAAGCACCGGCUAACUCCGUGCCAGCAGCCGCCGUAA